rnacentral:rRNA from 1 species
UACGUAGGGUGCAAGCGUUAAUCGGAAUUACUGGGCGUAAAGCGUGCGCAGGCGGUUUUGUAAGUCUGUCGUGAAAGCCCCGGGCUUAACCUGGGAAUUGCGAUGGAGACUGCAAGGCUUGAAUCUGGCAGAGGGGGGUAGAAUUCCACGUGUAGCAGUGAAAUGCGUAGAGAUGUGGAGGACACCGAUGGCGAAGGCAGCCCCCUGGGUCAAGAUUGACGCUCAUGCACGAAAGCGCGGGGAGCAACAGG